rnacentral:tRNA from 1 species
GGGCUGGUGGUGUAGUGGUAACAUAUUGCAUCCAGACGUAAACGGGAUUGGUUCGAUUCCGUCCCGGUCCA